CCGAGCGCUCCGACCGCCGGCACCGCGGGGCAAGGAGGCGGUGGCGGUGCCCCCCCAGGGGGUGGGGGGCGGGCCGGGCCGGGCUGUACACGCACAACCCCGCAGCGACAGCCCCCUGGGUCUCGUCCGCCAGCUGAGAGAGGAAGGCAGGAGAGACCUGGAGGCUGCGCCCGGCCCGCGGAGCCCACCGGCCGUCCCCUGCAGGGCGGAAAGGGAAAGGGGAGGUAAAGGCCAGGCAUCCGUCUGUCCCAGCGCACCCAGCCUUCUGCAGGCAGAAAGGACGGUACCAAAAGUCUUCGAAAGAAGUUCUGCGAAGAGUCAGCCUCCGAGAAAGAUGGAUGGAAAGUCAUUUCCCCUGACAUUAGCCCCAGGAGGGGCUACCUCCUCUGUUUCUGCAGUCAGCAUCCGGAAAUCUGGGCACAAAAGAAACCCCAACCCUUACACGAACGUUGCGGUCCAAUUUAACCCAGUGGCAGAGGAGUGAAAAUGCCGGUGAGGCUGCUCGCUUUCCGCAGGGACAUGGCUAGAGCAGAGGGAAGGAGGGGAACCGAGGCCGAGGUUUCACCGCACCCGCAGCUCAGCCAAGCUGUUGUUUUAAAGGAGCAAUAAAAGUGAAUUAUGACUAAA